UACGGGGGGGGGCAAGCGUUGUUCGGAAUUACUGGGCGUAAAGGGCGCGUAGGCGGCCCGCUAAGUCGAACGUGAAAUCCCCGGGCUCAACCCGGGAACUGCGUCCGAUACUGGUGGGCUUGAAUCCGGGAGAGGGAUGCGGAAUUCCAGGUGUAGCGGUGAAAUGCGUAGAUAUCUGGAGGAAUACCGGUGGCGAAGGCGGCAUCCUGGACCGACAUUGACGCUGAGGAGCGAAAAGCUAGGGGAGCAAACGGGG
rnacentral:rRNA from 1 species